rnacentral:rRNA from 1 species
AUUGAACGCUGGCGGCAUGCCUUACACAUGCAAGUCGAACGGCAGCGCGGGAGCAAUCCUGGCGGCGAGUGGCGAACGGGUGAGUAAUAUAUCGGAACGUGCCCAGUAGUGGGGGAUAGCCCGGCGAAAGCCGGAUUAAUACCGCAUGAGACCUGAGGGUGAAAGCGGGGGAUCGCAAGACCUCGCGCUACUGGAGCGGCCGAUAUCAGAUUAGCUAGUUGGUGGGGUAAAGGCCUACCAAGGCAACGAUCUGUAGUUGGUCUGAGAGGACGACCAGCCACACUGGGACUGAGACACGGCCCAGACUCCUACGGGAGGCAGCAGUGGGGAAUUUUGGACAAUGGGCGCAAGCCUGAUCCAGCAAUGCCGCGUGCAGGAAGAAGGCCUUCGGGUCGUAAAGUU